GCCAGCGUAAUGUAGUGGUUUGAAUGUUUGACUGUGACUCUGGAAACAAGGGUUCGAUUCCCAACUCAGCCA